GCCAGGUUGGCCGAGUGGUCGAAGGCGUUGGACUUAAGUUCCAAUCCACGUAAGUGGGCGUGGGUUCGAACCCCACACCUGGCA
rfam:Folsomia candida strain VT population Fcan01_Sc005, whole genome shotgun sequence.